rnacentral:rRNA from 1 species
CUUUUGCGUUUAAAAGGUUUUUUAAUUCAACAUCGAGGUCAUAAUCUCACUUGUCAAUUGGAACUUUCAAAGAGAAUUAAGCUGUUAUCCCUAAAGUAACUUGUUCUUUCUUUCAAAUUUUUCGCUCUNAAAACAUCUGNUUCNUUAAAAGCNGCNAAGNCAAUUUUCCUCCCGCNCCAGUAAAAUCUGUACUUAUGUUUCUNAAAAUCUCAAAUCUCAAGUUUUAUAGGGUCUUCUCGUCUUUAAGAGGAAUUUUAGCCUUCUUACUAAAAAGUUAACUUUAUUUUUUUAUCCCUGAAAAUUUUCUUCCAGUUUACUCUUUCAUUCCAG